rnacentral:rRNA from 1 species
GAUGAACGCUGGCGGCGUGCCUAAUACAUGCAAGUCGAGCGAACGGACGAGAAGCUUGCUUCUCUGAUGUUAGCGGCGGACGGGUGAGUAACACGUGGAUAACCUACCUAUAAGACUGGGAUAACUUCGGGAAACCGGAGCUAAUACCGGAUAAUAUUUUGAACCGCAUGGUUCAAAAGUGAAAGACGGUCUUUCUGUCACUUAUAGAUGGAUCCGCGCUGCAUUAGCUAGUUGGUAAGGUAACGGCUUACCAAGGCAACGAUGCAUAGCCGACCUGAGAGGGUGAUCGGCCACACUGGAACUGAGACACGGUCCAGACUCCUACGGGAGGCAGCAGUAGGGAAUCUUCCGCAAUGGGAGAAAGCCUGACGGAGCAACGCCGCGUGAGUGAUGAAGGUCUUCGGAUCGUAAAACUCUGUUAUUAGGGAAGAACAUAUGUGUAAGUAACUGUGCACAUCUUGACGGUACCUAAUCAGAAAGCCACGGCUAACUACGUG